rnacentral:lncRNA from 1 species
GAUAUAGGAACAAGAGUUACUCAAACGAAACGAACAUCGAAAAGCUCAAUCUUAACCAUCUCAAGCUAAGGUGGAGAAAAACUCACCUCCCGUAGAAAUCUCUUCUCAAGCUUCAAAAGAGAGCAAGAACCCUUCCAAUCCAACCUAAAGGAAGGUUCUAAACCAAUCAAUUGGGUCCCAAAGUCCUCCAAUCAAAAAUCCCCAAAAAUAAACCCUAAAAUCCAAAUCUAGGGUUUCAUCUAGUUUAAAGCUCCAAAACUAGGAUCUAGAGGAAGGAAGCUAGUCACUUACCUCUAGGAUGCUCCAAACCAAGCUCAAAAUCCUCAAGGGUUGAAAAUUGAUCCUCCACAAAGCUCCAAGUCCAAGCUCCAAGCCUCCAAUGGUGAGAGGAGAGGUUGAGGAAGAAGUCCCAAGUCCACAAGGCAAGCUCUCAUUCUUCUCCUUCUCCUUCUUCUCCUCUUGUUUCUCCUUCUUCUUCUCUUUCUAGAGAGUGUGACAGAGUGGGAAGUGAGGGAAAGAGAGAGAGGAAAUGGCCUAAAAGCCCUCUCAUGUAACAAAAUCCACUUAGGUCCCUCAAAAAUCCAAUCUGUGUAUCAGCCCGAACUGGGCAAUUUUCGCCCAGAGGGACCGGUCUCUCCCAGCUGGGACCGGUCCCUCAGGACCCUCCCGCAGAACAUGCUCUCAGGAACCGGUCUCUCAUUGCCAGGGACCGGUUGGCAAAAGUCUGCCGCAACACUGUUCCGGGGGGACCGGUCUCUCCCACCAGGGACCAGUCCCCGAGAGUGAAAACUCUCAGGACUAAGCCAAAUUACAGGAAUUCGAACUUUUAGGUUGGAAUACAGUCUACAACCUUCCA